UGCCAGCCGCCGCGGUAAUACGAAGGGAACUAGCGUUGUUCGGAUUUACUGGGCGUAAAGAGCAUGUAGGCGGAUUGGACAGUUGGAGGUGAAAUCCCGGAGCUCAACUCCGGAACUGCCUUCAAUACUUCCAGUCUAGAAUCUGUAAGGGGGUGGUGGAAUUCCGAGUGUAGAGGUGAAAUUCGUAGAUAUUCGGAGGAACACCAGUGGCGAAGGCGACCACCUGGUACAGUAUUGACGCUGAGAUGCGAAAGCGUGGGGAGCAAACAGGAUUAGAUA
rnacentral:rRNA from 1 species